UACAUGGGGUGCAAACGUUGCUCGGAAUCAUUGGGCGUAAAGCGCGCGUAGGCGGUUACUUAAGUCGGAUGUGAAAGCCCUCGGCUUAACCGAGGAAGUGCAUCCGAAACUGAGUAGCUAGAGUACUAAAGAGGGUCGCGGAAUUCCCGGUGUAGAGGUGAAAUUCGUAGAUAUCGGGAGGAACACCGGUGGCGAAGGCGGCGACCUGGGUAGAUACUGACGCUGAGGCGCGAAAGCGUGGAGAGCAAACAGG
rnacentral:rRNA from 1 species